rnacentral:rRNA from 1 species
GAUGAACGCUGGCGGCGUGCCUAGUACAUGCAAGUAGAACGCUGAAGCUUGGUGCUUGCACCGAGCGGAUGAGUUGCGAACGGGUGAGUAACGCGUAGGUAACCUGCCUCUUAGCGGGGGAUAACUAUUGGAAACGAUAGCUAAUACCGCAUAAAAGUCGAUAUCGCAUGAUAUUGAUUUGAAAGGUGCAAAUGCAUCACUAAGAGAUGGACCUGCGUUGUAUUAGCUAGUUGGUGAGGUAACGGCUCACCAAGGCGACGAUACAUAGCCGACCUGAGAGGGUGAUCGGCCACACUGGGACUGAGACACGGCCCAGACUCCUACGGGAGGCAGCAGUAGGGAAUCUUCGGCAAUGGGGGCAACCCUGACCGAGCAACGCCGCGUGAGUGAAGAAGGUUUUCGGAUCGUAAAGCUCUGUUGUAAGAGAAGAACGAGUGUGAGAGUGGAAAGUUCACACUGUGACGGUAACUUACCAGAAAGGGACGGCUAACUACGUG